UAAUACGUAGGGUGCAAGCGUUAAUCGGAAUUACUGGGCGUAAAGGGUGCGCAGGCGGUUUGUUAAGUCUGACGUGAAAUACCUGGGCUCAACCUGGGAAUGGCGUUGGAGACUGGCAAGCUAGAGUGUGUCAGAGGGGGGUAGAAUUCCACGUGUAGCAGUGAAAUGCGUAGAGAUGUGGAGGAACACCGAUGGCGAAGGCAGCCCCCUGGGAUAACACUGACGCUCAGGCACGAAAGCGUGGGGAGCAAACAGG
rnacentral:rRNA from 1 species